CCUACGUGAGGCAGUAGUGGGGAAUAUUGCACAAUGGGGGGAACCCUGAUGCAGCGACGCCGCGUGAGUGAAGAAGUAUUUCGGUAUGUAAAGCUCUAUCAGCAGGGAAGAAAAUGACGGUACCUGACUAAGAAGCCCCGGCUAACUACGUGCCAGCAGCCGCGGUAAUACGUAGGGGGCAAGCGUUAUCCGGAUUUACUGGGUGUAAAGGGAGCGCAGACGGCUGUGCAAGUCUGGAGUGAAAGGCGGGGGCCCAACCCCCGGACUGCUCUGGAAACUGUAAAGCUUGAGUGCAGGAGAGGUAAGCGGAAUUCCUAGUGUAGCGGGGAAAUGCGUAGAUAUUAGGAGGAACACCAGUGGCGAAGGCGGCUUACUGGACUGCGACUGACGUUGAGGCUCGAAAGCGUGGGGAGCAAACAGGAUUAGAUACCCCGGUAGUC
rnacentral:rRNA from 1 species